CAGCAGCCGCGGUAAUACGUAGGUGGCAAGCGUUAUCCGGAAUUAUUGGGCGUAAAGCGCGCGUAGGCGGUUUUUAAGUCUGAUGUGAAAGCCCACGGCUCAACCGUGGAGGGUCAUUGGAAACUGGAAAACUUGAGUGCAGAAGAGGAAAGUGGAAUUCCAUGUGUAGCGGUGAAAUGCGCAGAGAUAUGGAGGAACACCAGUGGCGAAGGCGACUUUCUGGUCUGUAACUGACGCUGAUGUGCGAAAGCGUGGGGAUCAAACAGGAUUAGAUACCCGUGUAGUCCCUGUCUCUUAUACA
rnacentral:rRNA from 1 species